rnacentral:rRNA from 1 species
GAUGAACGCUGGCGGCGUGCCUAAUGCAUGCAAGUCGAGCGAACAGACGAGGAGCUUGCUCCUUUGACGUUAGCGGCGGACGGGUGAGUAACACGUAGGUAACCUACCUAUAAGACUGGGAUAACUUCGGGAAACCGGAGCUAAUACCGGAUAAUAUUUCGAACCGCAUGGUUCGAUAGUGAAAGAUGGCUUUGCUAUCACUUAUAGAUGGACCUGCGCCGUAUUAGCUAGUUGGUAAGGUAACGGCUUACCAAGGCAACGAUACGUAGCCGACCUGAGAGGGUGAUCGGCCACACUGGAACUGAGACACGGUCCAGACUCCUACGGGAGGCAGCAGUAGGGAAUCUUCCGCAAUGGGCGGAAGCCUGACGGAGCAACGCCGCGUGAGUGAUGAAGGUCUUCGGAUCGUAAAACUCUGUUAUUAGGGAAGAACAAACGUGUAAGUAACUGUGCACGUCUUGACGGUACCUAUUCAGAAAGCCACGGCUAACUACGUG